rnacentral:lncRNA from 1 species
CUAGUAACUAACAUUUCAAGAAAAAAUACAUAAUAAAAAUGUACAUAACUUAUCUGAACUAUAUACCAUUUUGAGUUAGUUAUCUAAUCUUUUGAAAUUUUAAUUUUACUAUCAAACAUUUUCAAUUUACUUGAUUUAAGUCAAUCAAUAACAGUAAAACUUCAAAAUUGAGCAUGUCUUUUAUUUUUUAUCAGUUUAGUUAGUGUACUCAUACAAUUUUCGCAAUUAUAAAUUUACUAAAGUAAAUAAUUAUAUAACUUAAAUUUUAAAAUAAUGAUAAAUGCUAAAUUUUGACAUCUGUAUUCGUAUUCUAUCAAAUUCGAUGUCGAAUUU